GCCCUUCUGGGCACGAGAAUAACCAAGGAAGACACACUUGAGAGCACGAGGAGCUAACUUGUCUUUCCCAGGGACUAAGUUAUGAACGAAACAAGUGCUCUCAAAAACACGAGGGGAACAGAGUAUAAGGGUGACUGGGGAAACAAUACCUCAUACGGAAUCUGAUUGUGGAUGGGAGAUGAAGGCAUCCGAUUAACCAAAUAACAAGAUGUGAGAACUG
rnacentral:lncRNA from 1 species